rnacentral:rRNA from 1 species
AUUGAACGCUGGCGGCAGGCUUAACACAUGCAAGUCGAGCGGAGAUGAGGUGCUUGCACCUUAUCUUAGCGGCGGACGGGUGAGUAAUGCUUAGGAAUCCGCCUAUUAGUGGGGGACAACAUUCCGAAAGGAAUGCUAAUACCGCAUACGUCCUACGAGAGAAAGCAGGGGAUCUUCGGACCUUGCGCUAAUAGAUGAGCCUAAGUCGGAUUAGCUAGUUGGUGGGGUAAAGGCCCACCAAGGCGACGAUCUGUAGCGGGUCUGAGAGGAUGAUCCGCCACACUGGGACUGAGACACGGCCCAGACUCCUACGGGAGGCAGCAGUGGGGAAUAUUGGACAAUGGGGGGAACCCUGAUCCAGCCAUGCCGCGUGUGUGAAGAAGGCCUUAUGGUUGUAAAGCACUUUAAGCGAGGAGGAGGCUACUGAGACUAAUACUCUUGGAUAGUGGACGUUACUCGCAGAAUAAGCACCGGCUAACUCUGUGCCAGCCGCCGCAGUAACAC